UACGGGGGGGGCAAGCGUUGUUCGGAAUUACUGGGCGUAAAGGGCUCGUAGGCGGCCUGCUAAGUCGAACGUGAAAUCCCCGGGCUCAACCCGGGAACUGCGUCCGAUACUGGCAGGCUUGAAUUCGGGAGAGGGAUGUGGAAUUCCAGGUGUAGCGGUGAAAUGCGUAGAUAUCUGGAGGAACACCGGUGGCGAAGGCGGCAUCCUGGACCGAGAUUGACGCUGAUGCGCGAAAGCCAGGGGAGCAAACGGG
rnacentral:rRNA from 1 species